rnacentral:lncRNA from 13 species
CACACCAACACCUCAGAUUUCAAGGAAUGCUUUGAGGACUCUGGAAAACAGUAAUCUACAAAAUCCAGUUCCACUGUGUUUCAGUGCCAUGGAAUCCCAUGUAAGGUGCUUGCUGUUAUACAAGCACCUUUCAAGAAGUGCAGAAUAUUGAUUCAAUUGCUAUCCCUGGGAAGACAGAUGGGAUUAAGAUUUCAUCUAUUUGCCUUUGUAUGGAAAUCUGUUUGCCUUUGUAUAGAAAUCUUUUCUAUCCAAUGGGACAUGGAGGAAUGACCUACAAGGGCAGGCACUGGUUGAAAAUGGUUCCCAUGAAUUAACCCCCAGGCACUUGCAGCCUGCCCUGCACAGGGCUGAGGAAACACCUGCUGCCAGAG